rnacentral:misc_RNA from 1 species
GGGUUCCAGUGGAGAUUCAUAAGUAGGAGGGUGUGUAUGUACCGGAGCUGAUUUUCGGGCACUUGUUGACUAGCAGCAACUAUGAUGAUACGGUGAAGAAGACAACCGGAGGAAGAAAUGGGUAUGGAGCCAAGCUCGCAAAUAUUUUUUUCAGAGUCUGUUAUUGAGACUGCUGAUGGGAAUCGGCAGAAGAAAUAUAAGCAGGUAAUUAGGGUUGUUUACAUUUAUGGAUUUUGAUUUUGAUUUUAUGUUUCUUGCAGUUCCCUUGUUAAACUAUCACUUGGGUUCAUGCUUUUAGGAUUUUUUAGAUGGCUAUUGGUGUAUGAUUCAAAACAGCUGAUUUUGAUUCCUUUGGUUUCUGCUCAAUUUUUAUAGGGUGGUGGUUGUUUGUCAUUGCAACUGCUAUUUAAAAAAUAUUAGUUAGAAGUAUAAAAAUUUAUUUAAAUUAAAAUUUGACAUUUUUAAUAGGCAGUGUUAAAUUGAAGUUUACUUUUAUGAUAUAAAUUAUAAAUUGAAGUUUAAGAACGGUGUUAACAUAACUUUCAAAGUUCAAGGGUGGGGGGGUGAAAAUUCGCCCUUUUACUGCUACUGUUACAAGUAGGUGACAUAACAGCGCGAUUGUUGGCCAGAGGUUCUGAUCAGAUGUGCUCAGUCUUUUCUGUGCUCAAAUCAGGAGGACAGGGAAACAAUUCAAAUUUUCACUUUCCAUCCCCCAAUAAAAUAAGAUAAAUUCGGCAGAGCUUCAUCUACUUCUUGUUUGCAAAACGCUGUCGCAGAAAGAAAUGUGUGCGCGCACCGUUUGAGUUGCAGUUGCAUACGGAGGAAAAGACGAUGAGGCUGAUCAUGGGCAUGGCAAUGGUUGCGUAGAUAGUCAUUUUGGGGACUCUGGUUCUUUUUGUAUCAAUUUACUAACAGAGAUUUUUAAAUGUUAUCAUUUCUAAUAUAAUUUUUAGCUAACAUCAAUAAAAUGAAUCUUAUUUAGUGCUUUUAUGACAUAAAAUAACAAACGAGUUUGAGUAUUGUCCGUGUGGCACCUAUGUGGACAACCAAGUGGCAUCACAUCAACACCACAUAAUAAUUCUUUUUAUUCUAAAAAAAAUAAAAUAUAUAAAACACAAGUUUACUACAUAUAUA